rnacentral:rRNA from 1 species
GGCUUAGGACGAACGCUGGCGGCGUGCCUAAUACAUGCAAGUCGAACGGUCUUUCUAUGGAAGCUUGCUUCCACUGAGAAGAUAGUGGCGAACGGGUGAGUAACACGUGGGUAACCUGCCCAUAAGAGGGGGAUAACAUCCGGAAACGGGUGCUAAUACCGCAUAGUUUUCUUGAUCGCAUGAUUGAGAAAGGAAAGAUGGCCUUUGUGCUGUCGCUUAUGGAUGGACCCGCGGCGUAUUAGUUAGUUGGUGAGGUAACGGCUCACCAAGACGAUGAUACGUAGCCGACCUGAGAGGGUGAUCGGCCGCAUUGGGACUGAGACACGGCCCAAACUCCUACGGGAGGCAGCAGUAGGGAAUCUUCCGCAAUGGACGAAAGUCUGACGGAGCAACGCCGCGUGAGUGAAGAAGGUUUUUCCGGAUCGUAAAACUCUGUUGUCAGAGAAGAACAAGUUGGAGAGUAACUGCUCCAGCCUUGACGGUAUCUGACCAGAAAGCCACGGCUAACUACGUGCCAGCAGCAGC